GGGGCUGUAGCUUAGUGGUAGAGCACAUGAUUGGCAUGCAUGAGGUCCUAGGUUUAAUCCCCAGUGCCUCCA
rnacentral:tRNA from 1 species